rnacentral:rRNA from 1 species
GGGCCUACGGGGGGCUGCAGUGGGGAAUAUUGGACAAUGGGCGCAAGCCUGAUCCAGCCAUGCCGCGUGAGUGAAGAAGGCCUUCGGGUUGUAAAGCUCUUUCGACGGGGACGAUGAUGACGGUACCCGUAUAAGAAGCCCCGGCUAACUUCGUGCCAGCAGCCGCGGUAAUACGAAGGGGGCUAGCGUUGUUCGGAAUUACUGGGCGUAAAGCGAACGUAGGCGGUGUUCCAUGUCAGAGGUGAAAGCCUGGGGCUCAACUCCAGAAUUGCCUUUGAAACGGGAACGCUUGAGUCCGAGAGAGGAUGGCGGAAUUCCUAGUGUAGAGGUGAAAUUCGUAGAUAUUAGGAAGAACACCGGUGGCGAAGGCGGCCAUCUGGCUCGGUACUGACGCUCAGGUUCGAAAGCGUGGGGAGCAAACAGGAUUAGAUACCCGAGUAGUCAC